ensembl:snRNA U6 U6 spliceosomal RNA
GUGCUCACUUUGGCAGCACAUAUAGUAAAUUGGAACACUACAAAGAAGAUUAGCAUGGCCCCUGAGAGAGGAUGACAGGCAAAUUCAUGAAGCGUUCAAUAUUUUU